rfam:Schistosoma curassoni strain Dakar, Senegal genome assembly, scaffold: SCTD_scaffold0018454
AUCCAGCUGACGAGUCCUGAAUAGGACGAAACGCGCGUCCUGGAU